rnacentral:rRNA from 1 species
GUAAGGAAUAUUGGACAAUGGGCGGAAGCCUGAUCCAGCCAUCCCGCGUGCAGGAUGAAGGCCCUAGUGGUUGUAAACUGCUUUUAUUUGGGAAGAAAUCUGUCUAUUUAUAGGCAGUUGACGGUACCUUAUGAAUAAGCACCGGCUAACUCCGUGCCAGCAGCCGCGGUAAUACGGAGGGUGCAAGCGUUAUCCGGAAUCACUGGGUUUAAAGGGUGCGUAGGCGGCCUAUCAAGUCAGGGGUGAAAUGUCAGCGCUUAACGUUGAAAUUGCCUUUGAUACUGUUGGGCUUGAAACAGGUUGAGGUUGGCAGAAUGUGGCAUGUAGCGGUGAAAUGCAUAGAUAUGCCAUAGAAUACCGAUUGCGUAGGCAGCUGGCUGGACCUGGAUUGACGCUGAGGCACGAAAGCGUGGGGAGCAAACAGGAUUAGAAACCCCAGUAGUCC